rnacentral:ncRNA from 2 species
GUGCUUGGUAGGGUCGCCGGUGCCAGUCGCCCUCACGGGCCAGGGAACCCGGUGGAACUCCGGGACUGACGCGCAGCGGUGAGGCGGACGGGCGGGGCACGAGGCCACUGGGAGCACUCCUGGGAAGGCGCCCCGACCCGGAUGACGCCGAGUCCGAAGACCUGCUGGUGGUCGCCCGCGCAC